UUGACUGUGCUAAGGUAGCAUAAUAAAUUGGCUUUUAAUUGAAGUCGGGAAUGAAAGGGUGUUUGGAGUUAUUCUGUCUUAUUUUUAUUUUUUAAAAGUUACUAAUGAGGUGAAAAUUCCUCAAUGUUACUUGAUAGACGAGAAGACCCUAAGAAUUAUUACAACUAUUAAAGUAAAUUAAUAAAAGUUUUUGUUGGGGCAACAGCUUUGAAUAACCAAAGUUAAAAUUUACUAUAAAAAGACUAUAUUAAAAACGGAUUUAAUUACCUUAGGGAUAACAGCAUAAUUAUAUUUUAGAUUGUGACCUCGAUGUUGGAUUAAGGCCU
rnacentral:rRNA from 1 species